AGUACUGAAAGACAUUUACGAAGGUAGC
rnacentral:piRNA from 1 species